rnacentral:rRNA from 1 species
UGGCAAACGGGUGAGUAACACGUAAACAACCUGCCUUCAGGAUGGGGACAACAGACGGAAACGACUGCUAAUACCGAAUAAGCCCACGGCUCGGCAUCGAGCAGAGGGAAAAGGAGCAAUCCGCUUUGAGAUGGCCUCGCGUCCGAUUAGCUAGUUGGUGAGGUAACGGCCCACCAAGGCAACGAUCGGUAGCCGGACUGAGAGGUUGAACGGCCACAUUGGGACUGAGAUACGGCCCAGACUCCUACGGGAGGCAGCAUG